rnacentral:pre_miRNA from 1 species
GAUUUCAACUGAAAGAAAAAGUCAUCAACAUCAAAGUUGUAUAACUCAUCAAUAUCUAUAACUUUUAUUUUGAUCAUUUCUUCAUCCGAUAAAGUAAUAGUAACAUUGUUCAUAAAAUUUACAUAUCUCUCUCAUAAUUUAUAAACUAUAUAAGAGAUAUGUACAUUUUGUGAACAAUGUUACAAAUCGCUUUGUCGGAUGAAAAAAUGACCCAAAUAAAAGUUAUAGAUCUUGAUGAAUUAUACCACUUUGUUAUUGAUAACUUUUUCAGUUGAAAUC